AAAGUCGUAACAAGGUUUCCGUAGGUGAACCUGCGGAAGGAUCAUUAAAGAAAUAAACUUGAUGGGUUGUAGCUGGCUCUAACUUGAGUAUGUGCACGCCUGUCAUUUUUAUCUUUCCACCAUGUGCACUUUGCAUAGGUCUGAAAAUCAAGUGUUUUUUUUCACUUGAUGUCUUGGGAACUGCUGUGCUUCACAGCCAGCUUUUCCUGUCUUCAGGCUCUAUGAUUUUUAUAUAUACACCAUGUAUGUUAAAGAACGCAUUUACAGGCUUGCAAAAGCCUAUAAACUUUAUACAACUUUCAGCAACGGAUCUCUUGGCUCUC
rnacentral:misc_RNA from 1 species